AUGCUGGAGGUAUCAGAAGUGCGAAUGCUGACAUAAGUAACGAUAAAGCGGGUGAAAAGCCCGCUCGCCGGAAGACCAAGGGUUCCUGUCCAACGUUAAUCGGGGCAGGGUGAGUCGACCCCUAAGGCGAGGCCGAAAGGCGUAGUCGAUGGGAAACAGGUUAAUAUUCCUGUACUUGGUGUUACUGCGAAGGGGGGACGGAGAAGGCUAUGUUGGCCGGGCGACGGUUGUCCCGGUUUAAGCGUGUAGGCUGGUUUUCCAGGCAAAUCCGGAAAAUCAAGGCUGAGGCGUGAUGACGAGGCACUACGGUGCUGAAGCAACAAAUGCCCUGCUUCCAGGAAAAGCCUCUAAGCAUCAGGUAACAUCAAAUCGUACCCCAAACCGACACAGGUGGUCAGGUAGAGAAUACCAAGGCGCUUGAGAGAACUCGGGUGAAGGAACUAGGCAAAAUGGUGCCGUAACUUCGGGAGAAGGCACGCUGAUAUGUAGGUGAAGCGACUUGCUCGUGGAGCUGAAAUCAGUCGAAGAUACCAGCUGGCUGCAACUGUUUAUUAAAAACACAGCACUGUGCAAACACGAAAGUGGACGUAUACGGUGUGACGCCUGCCCGGUGCCGGAAGGUUAAUUGAUGGGGUUAGCGCAAGCGAAGCUCUUGAUCGAAGCCCCGGUAAACGGCGGCCGUAACUAUAACGGUCCUAAGGUAGCGAAAUUCCUUGUCGGGUAAGUUCCGACCUGCACGAAUGGCGUAAUGAUGGCCAGGCUGUCUCCACUCGAGACUCAGUGAAAUUGAACUCGCUGUGAAGAUGCAGUGUACCCGCGGCAAGACGGAAAGACCCCGUGAACCUUUACUAUAGCUUGACACUGAACAUUGAGCCUUGAUGUGUAGGAUAGGUGGGAGGCUUUGAAGUGUGGACGCCAGUCUGCAUGGAGCCGACCUUGAAAUACCACCCUUUAAUGUUUGAUGUUCUAACGUUGACCCGUAAUCCGGGUUGCGGACAGUGUCUGGUGGGUAGUUUGACUGGGGCGGUCUCCUCCUAAAGAGUAACGGAGGAGCACGAAGGUUGGCUAAUCCUGGUCGGACAUCAGGAGGUUAGUGCAAUGGCAUAAGCCAGCUUGACUGCGAGCGUGACGGCGCGAGCAGGUGCGAAAGCAGGUCAUAGUGAUCCGGUGGUUCUGAAUGGAAGGGCCAUCGCUCAACGGAUAAAAGGUACUCCGGGGAUAACAGGCUGAUACCGCCCAAGAGUUCAUAUCGACGGCGGUGUUUGGCACCUCGAUGUCGGCUCAUCACAUCCUGGGGCUGAAGUAGGUCCCAAGGGUAUGGCUGUUCGCCAUUUAAAGUGGUACGCGAGCUGGGUUUAGAACGUCGUGAGACAGUUCGGUCCCUAUCUGCCGUGGGCGCUGGAGAACUGAGGGGGGCUGCUCCUAGUACGAGAGGACCGGAGUGGACGCAUCACUGGUGUUCGGGUUGUCAUGCCAAUGGCACUGCCCGGUAGCUAAAUGCGGAAGAGAUAAGUGCUGAAAGCAUCUAAGCACGAAACUUGCCCCGAGAUGAGUUCUCCCUGACCCUUUAAGGGUCCUGAAGGAACGUUGAAGACGACGACGUUGAUAGGCCGGGUGUGUAAGCGCAGCGAUGCGUUGAGCUAACCGGUACUAAUGAACCGUGAGGCUUAACCUU
rnacentral:rRNA from 1 species